AAACCCGAAAGUUCGAAUGGGGAGAUUCAUCUGCAAUGACGCUGGCUUCGCUGUGGCUUUGGCGAUGCAGGGUACUUCGGUACCAUGGCACGUCGUCGCGGUGUUAUGUCCGGUGUCGUCGUGGUGCACUUCUCCCCUAGUAGGACGUCGCGACCCGUUGGGUGUCGGACUACGGCCCGGGUGGUUGCCCGUUGCGGCGAUUUAUCGCCAUGACAGACCCCCGGUGUCUUCCCGUCCGACUGCUCGGCGGUAUUGAUGCGAUGGUAUUCGGCCGCAAUCUAUUCGAACGAAAUGCGUUAUAGGCUCGUCGCAAGCGCGGUCAGUGUCCCGUGUGGUACGGACGUAGUGCCGUCCCCGGGCCUGACCAGCUGUUGGCUGACGGUGUCCUCUGACUGGCCGCUUACUUGUUUGCGACGCUUUUGCUUUGGGUACUCUCAGGACCCGUCUUGAAACACGGACCAAGGAGUCUAACAUGUGCGCGAGUCAUUGGGAUAACAAAACCUAAAGGCGAAAUGAAAGUGAAUGUCGACCUUGCGUCGACAGAGGGAGGAUGGGUUGCGCAAAGCAGCCUCGCACUCCCGGGGCGUCUCGUUCUCAUUGCGAGA
rnacentral:rRNA from 1 species